rnacentral:rRNA from 1 species
GGGCGUAAGCGCGCGCAGGUGGUUUCUUAAGUCUGAUGUGAAAGCCCCCGGCUCAACCGUGGAGGGUCAUUGGAAACUGGGAGACUUGAGUGCAGAAGAGGAAAGUGGAAUUCCAUGUGUAGCGGUGAAAUGCGUAGAGAUGUGGAGGAACACCAGUGGCGAAGGCGACUUUCUGGUCUGUAACUGACACUGAGGAGCGAAAGCGUGGGGAGCAAACAGGAUUAGAUACCCUGGUAGUCCACGCCGUAAACGAUGAGUGCUAAGUGUUAGAGGGUUUCCGCCCUUUAGUGCUGAAGUUAACGCAUUAAGCACUCCGCCUGGGGAGUACGGCCGCAAGGCUGAAACUCAAAGGAAUUGACGGGGGCCCGCACAAGCGGUGGAGCAUGUGGUUUAUUUCAAAACAACGCGAAGAACCUUACCAGGUCUUGACAUCCUCU